UGGGGAAUAUUGGACAAUGGGCGGAAGCCUGAUCCAGCCAUGCCGCGUGUGUGAAGAAGGCCUUUUGGUUGUAAAGCACUUUAAGCGAGGAGGAGGCUACUUGGAUUAAUACUCUAGGAUAGUGGACGUUACUCGCAGAAUAAGCACCGGCUAACUCUGUGCCAGCAGCCGCGGUAAUACAGAGGGUGCGAGCGUUAAUCGGAUUUACUGGGCGUAAAGCGUGCGUAGGCGGCUUUUUAAGUCGGAUGUGAAAUCCCUGAGCUUAACUUAGGAAUUGCAUUCGAUACUGGGAAGCUAGAGUAUGAGAGAGGAUGGUAGAAUUCCAGGUGUAACGGUGAAAUGCGUAGAGAUCUGGGGGAAUACCGAUGGCGAAGGCAGCCAUCUGGCCUAAUACUGACGCUGAGGUACGAAAGCAUGGGGAGCAAACAGG
rnacentral:rRNA from 1 species